GGGGUUUUAUAAUGUAAAUAAUAUCACAAUUUUGCUGUAUAUUUAUAUCAUUCUUUUAUUUUUUAAUUAAUCCUACACCUGAACUUAGUAAUUAUGGUUUUCUUAAAUGGCAUCAUAAAUUUCAAUAUGCUGGAGAUUUAUAAAAAUAUUUUUUUAGUAUGUAUGUGUACAGUGUUUAAAAAUAAAGGGUUCAAAUUAAGGGGCAGGUGUAAUUAUCUGUAAUAGCAAAAAUACAUGAGCUUUAAUAGCAAGACAAAACAAUUUAUAAUUAUUAUAAUUAUUUGAUUUUAAGCCCCAAAAAAGAGGGGGGGGGCACAUUUUGUCGAUUUGUAAAAAAAAUUAUUAAGAAAAUUGAAAAAUAACAAAAAUCAAAAGCUCAAACAAAU
rnacentral:lncRNA from 1 species